rnacentral:rRNA from 1 species
AUGAACGCUGGCGGCGUGCCUAAUCCCUGCAAGUCGAGCGAACAGACGAGGAGCUUGCUCCUCUGACGUUAGCGGCGGACGGGUGAGUAACACGUGGAUAACCUACCUAUAAGACUGGGAUAACUUCGGGAAACCGGAGCUAAUACCGGAUAAUAUAUUGAACCGCAUGGUUCAAUAGUGAAAGACGGUUUUGCUGUCACUUAUAGAUGGAUCCGCGCCGCAUUAGCUAGUUGGUAAGGUAACGGCUUACCAAGGCAACGAUGCGUAGCCGACCUGAGAGGGUGAUCGGCCACACUGGAACUGAGACACGGUCCAGACUCCUACGGGAGGCAGCAGUAGGGAAUCUUCCGCAAUGGGCGAAAGCCUGACGGAGCUACGCCGCGUGAGUGAUGAAGGUCUUCGGAUCGUAAAACUCUGUUAUUAGGGAAGAACAAAUGUGUAAGUAACUAUGCACGUCUUGACGGUACCUAAUCAGAAAGCCACGGCUAACUACGUG